UACGGUCAUAUCACGUUGGAAUACCGAUUCUCAUACGAUCACCGAAGUUAAACAACGCCGAGCCUGGUCAGUACCUAGAUGGGUGACUGCUCGGGAAUACCAG